rnacentral:rRNA from 1 species
CCUACGGGAGGCAGCAGUGGGGAAUAUUGCGCAAUGGGCGAAAGCCUGACGCAGCGACGCCGCGUGAGGGAUGAAGGUCUUCGGAUCGUAAACUUCUUUUGUCAGGGAAGAGUAGAAGACGGUACCUGACGAAUAAGCCACGGCUAACUACGUGCCAGCAGCCGCGGUAAUACGUAGGUGGCAAGCGUUGUCCGGAUUUACUGGGUGUAAAGGGCGUGUAGCCGGGUUGACAAGUCAGAUGUGAAAUCCUGCGGCUUAACCGCAGAACUGCAUUUGAAACUGUUGAUCUUGAGUACUGGAGAGGCAGAUGGAAUUCCUAGUGUAGCGGUGAAAUGCGUAGAUAUUAGGAGGAACACCAGUGGCGAAGGCGGUCUGCUGGACAGCAACUGACGGUGAGGCGCGAAAGCGUGGGGAGCAAACAGGAUUAGAUACCCGGGUAGUC